rnacentral:misc_RNA from 1 species
CAGAGUUCAUGCCCUCGCGGGUAGAUCUCCCACCCUUGAAUACUAUACCUUUGUUGCUUUGGCGGGCCGCUUCAGCUACUGGCUCUGGCUAGUGAGUGCCCGCCAAAGGACCCCAAAACUCUGAAUGUCAGUGUCGUCUGAGUGCUAUAUAAUAGUUA